UUUAAAGGCAGUAACCUUUGUUUGCAGUAGCUUUUCAAUUCACUCAAAAAUCCUUUGCCUCAAGAAACAAUUACCUCACAAAACUAUAAACCAAAUAUAAAGAAGUAGCUUUAUUUGAUUUCUAUCAACAAACCUGUUAUUUAGAUUAUCCAUGGUUUUCAUAUUUUUAAGAAACUCUCUGCAUUAAAUCCUCCUUAGAAUCUAUUUUGGUGACAUUUAAAGCUUAUUUGCAUACAUAUUUGCAUAAACAAAUGCAAAGAUUAUGCUUACAAAAGUAAAUAUGACAAAAUCAUGGGAUGGAUGUCUCAAAACAGAGUUUGGUGUGCUAAGUAAAAAUACCUCUACUAGGAAAUAUCACAUUCUUUCUUGAAGAGCUGCACAACCAUUUCUAAGACAGCACAGUAAUGAAAGGUGAAAAGGUUUAUUUAAUUAUUUCUGUGCAGUGUUUCUGCUUAUAGUAGCUAGCUUGGUUUUUAUUUUGUCUUUAGGUUUUGGGGGGCUUAAUGAGGUGAGAUGAGACAUUAUGAGUUUAACAGACUCAGCCUGAAGCUAGCUUAUCUGGAUGAGGGAUGGAUGGAAACAACUCAAGACACUUCAGCUGCAGCCCUGGUUCUCACUACCUGCCCACAGCUCACUGAACACCUUAGACUAGAGAGACUAAGUAUUUUAGAAAUUUCAGAACUCUGCAAAUUCAUUACAACUUACUCAGUCACUCAUGUUUCCAACUGGCAUUGAUCCUGUAAAAGCCUGGCUCUGAAGCACACCAGCAUCAACUGGGUAAAAGUGAACACAUGAAAACAGCUGAUAGACAAACACAAGCAGACAGAGCAGUGCCUGUUCUUCUGCCUGGUUCUCCCCUCAUCCUCUCUGGACCCAGCCUUCUGUUCCAUGUUCUCUGUCAAAUACCUGCAUCUAGGAUAGGGGACAGCUUUAGCACUCAGUUGUACAACAUCCUGUGCAGAAUAACUACAGCAACACAAAAAAUACUUCCAGCUUCAGAGAUUAGACAGAGCAUCCAAAUAUAAAUGGUUGAUCACAACCUCUCAGUAACAGUCAACAGAGCUUUCAUUACAUUUCCAUCAAACCCACAGUUAAUGCUAUGAAUAACUAGCAAUAUCUUUUAAUCAAGAAUUCAUUACUUUCUUCAAGGUCAAUAGAGAGGACUACCUGGUUUUGGUGAUCCCUAUUCAAAGGUGGGGUUUCUUAGCUAUUUCGCUGUUCAGGGCAUAAUCAUAUUACACAAUACACCUUGCAAUCAAAGUAUCAGUUUCUCAAAAGCCACAGAAAUUUAUAUGUAGAUGUCUUUACGUAGCUAAGAGCUCACGCAAGCCCCACAGUACUGCAGUGCUUAUUGAGUAACAUAGGAUAUACACAAAUUCAAAGUAUAUUUAGAAAUUUUACUCAUAUCCCACAAGGCUUUGGUGACCCGAGUCAGACAUAAAUGUAUAUAUUUCUAAAUGACAGUCUAAAGCAAUCAGAACUGACAGAAGUUAAGAAUAAAAUUGUGCCCUUCCAUAGUGACA
rnacentral:lncRNA from 1 species